GUCAAAAGAUACAGGUAAGUCCCUGCUUUUUAAUUUGUAAUAAUUUUAAUCCCUAAUAUACAUAUUAGUCAUUGUCUAAAUUGGCUGUCAAUUUUUUUCAAUUUAAAAUAAUUUAGUCUUUUAAAUUUUAUUUUAUUAAUAAAAUAAUCCUUACAUUUGAUUUAAUAUUUAAAUAAUUAUAUAUUUUAUAAAAUAUUAAAUAUUUUUCUAUUUAUAAUUAUUUAAAUAAAAAUAGUAAAAAGUAUAAAAUAUAAAUUUAGAUAUGGGAACUAUUUUGUUGAUAAAAUAAAAUUCUAGGGACUAGAUUGUUUUAAAUUGAAAAGUAGUUGAUGGCAGAGAGUAAUUUGCUAAUGGAAUUUAAAUUUGAGAACCAAAUCAUUACUAAAAAAUAAAUCAAGAACUAACAUGUGAGUUUUGCUAUACCUCAAGGACUUAGUUGUAAUUUAUCCAAAAAAAAAGUGUGAUAGUAGCAUAGCAUAGGGUGCUUGAAGGGUUUAUUUUCUACUGGCUAGUCAAAAUGCAAGGAUGACUAUUGAUUGGUAAAUUUAACAAUAUUAUCCCAACUUAGUAUACUGUGAAAAUUUUGCUUGAAGGUCCUACAAAAGGCUUUGGAAG
rnacentral:misc_RNA from 1 species